rnacentral:sRNA from 72 species
UAUCUCUCCGUACGGGGAAGGAUGAGAAGCUUCGACUAAGGUUCGAUUCGAGCGCAGCGAGAAAGCGUUGCCGUAGGCAACGACCCGAAGGGCGAAGCGCGCAGCGCUGAGUAAUCCUUCCCCCGUCAUCC